AUGCUUAACACAUGCAAGUCGAACGGGGUAGCAAUACCCAGCGGCAGACGGGUGAGUAACACGUAGUCAACCUUCCCGACAGUGGGGGAUAGCUAGCCGAAAGGUUAGCUAAUACCGCAUACGAUCGAUGAGAGGCAUCUCUCGUCGAUGAAAGGAGCAAUCCGCUUUCGGACGGGACUGCGUCCCAUUAGCUAGAUGGUGGGGUAAUGGCCUACCAUGGCGACGAUGGGUAGCUGGUUUGAGAGAGCGACCAGCCACACUGGGACUGAGAAACGGCCCAGACUCCUACGGGAGGCAGCAGUGAGGAAUUUUCCGCAAUGGGCGAAAGCCUGACGGAGCGACGCCGCGUGUGGGAAGAAGGCCUUCGGGUCGUAAACCACUGUCGAAGGGGAAGAUAAUGACGGUACCCUUGGAGGAAGCCCCGGCUAGCUACGUGCCAGCAGCCGCGGUAAGACGUAGGGGGCAAGCGUUGUUCGGAAUUAUUGGGCGUAAAGCGCUCGUAGGCGGAACUGGAAGUCCGUGUUGAAAGACCUCGGCUCAACUGAGGGACCGGCGCGGAUACUCUAGUUCUUGAGGCAAUCAGAGGGUGAUGGAAUUCCCGGUGUAGCGGUGAAAUGCGUAGAUAUCGGAAGGAACACCAGUGG
rnacentral:rRNA from 1 species